rnacentral:lncRNA from 10 species
CCGAAGCAGAGAAGCUCCUGCCCCUGGCUUAAAAAUUGACUAUCCUGGCUAAAAACAAAAUAUUCCCUUUGCUUCUUCAGAGAAGAUUCAACAGGAAGGACAAUAGCAUCUAGUGCCUCCAUUGAGAUUUUUUAAAAAUAAACUUUUUAUUUUGGAAUAAUUUCACUUUUACAGAAAAUUUACAAAUUAAUACGAAGAGUUCUCAUGUUCCCCUCUCCUAGUUUUCCCUAUUGUUAACAUCUUACAUCACCACAGUACGUUCAGAAAAACUAAGGAACAAACAUUGACAGGUUACUAUUGUUAGUUAAACUCUAUAAUCUUUAUUCAGGUUUCACUAGCUUUUCCAUGAAUGUCCCUUUUUCGGUUCCAGGAUUUCAUCCAGCAUAUCAGAUUACAUUUAGUUGUUGUGUCUUCUUAGUUAUAAUUUUCCAGUCUUUCCUUAUUUUGAUACUUUGAUAAUUUUGAGAAGUAUUGGUCAGGUACUUUAUAUAAUGUCCCUCCAUUUGGGUUUGCAAAGUAUUUUUUUCAUGAUUACACUGGGGUUAUGGGUUUCUGGGAGGAAGACCACCAAGGUAAAGUGUCCUCUCAUCACAACCUGUGGGAUGUACCCAGGUGCUGUCCACAUGAUUUACCUGUGGUUCCACCAUGAUUUGAAGGCAGAGGGCAGGCUCUGAGAAGCCUCCUACAGGAUGAGGGUCUUGAUUCAGAGUCCUUCCCUCUGGAUGCACAAGACCAUGGAUUGCUGAUCAAGAAGGACCCUGCAAAGCUGGAGAUGGGGUGGAGUGGGGCAGUGCUGCACAUGGGAAGAGCAACAGACUAGAAGCCAGGUCUGUCUGGCACUAGUCCUGACUUCACCGCUUCUGAGCUGCGUGAUGUUGAGUGAGAGUCUUUAACCUCCCUGGCCUCAGUUUCCUCAUUCACCAAUCAGUAUGUAACCCCUUCCCCUCCCUUCCUUCUAGGGUUGGCAACUGGAUCAAAUGACAUUAGAUUUGAAAAGACUUUAAAAAGUAUAAAAGACAGUACAUAGAUGGGAAGUCAGUCUUUAAGCCUGCUUUGGAUUUUCCAGCAUUUCAGCUCCAGCAGGAGGAGAAAGAUUUACUUUCUAUUUACUUAUCACUGUUAACAAGCAAACACAUACAAGUCAUAUGGGUGUGUGUGUGUGUGUGUAAUCUUUUAACUUUUUUAAAAGUCUGAUUUAUUGAAAUAUAUUUACAUAUAGUAAAAUUCAUCCUUCUUAUGUGUACAGUUCUGAGUUUUGACAAAAAAUACAAUCAUGUAAUCCUUACCACAAUUAAGAUAGAGAACACGAGACAUAGAAUACUUCCAUGACCUCUUCACCCCCAAAUUCCCUCACACUUCUGUCAUCAACCCAUUCCCCUACUCUUAGCCCCUGGCAAUAUUGACCUGUUUUUUGUUCCUAUUUUCUACAAUGUCAUAUGAAUUGAAUCAUGUUGCCUUUAUUGUUUUUAGUUCUAAAAACAACAUUAUUGAGGUAUAACUGAUAUACAAUAAAAUGCACAUACAAAAGUAUACAACACGUAAGUCUUGGUUAUGUAUACAUUUGUGAUAUCAUCCCCACAAUCAGGACAGUGAACAUAUACCCAUCACCCUAAAAGUGUCCUCAACUUCUACUGUCACUGCUUUUCAGCAAACUGAUGGUUCUCUGCAUGUACUCUGAGGCACAGUGCUCACUCCCACUGUUAUGCCCUCCUUCAGGUGGCUUUCUUUCCCUUAAGCUACCACCUGGCCCUUUUGAUCUCUCCAAAUCCUGCCCAUCCUUCAAGUCUACGCUUUAGCCCUCCCCACCACCCAAUGUCUAAAGGGUCCUUUAAAGUUAUCCUUUGAGAAUAAUUCAGCCCACACUUGCUACUUCCUUCUCUACUCCUAAUGUACUUACAGACAACCUCUCAUUGUGGUCUUUCUUUAUAUAACAGUGUUUGUAUCUUACUGUCCUAAGGUGAGUGGCCCAGUGUUUAGCAGCAUGGUCUCUGGGGUUAGAUAGUUAGGUUCAUAUAGUUAACCUUAGGCUCCUGUUUAACCUCUGUCUCUGUGUCAUUUUUCCUUAUCUGUAAAAUUAGGAAGACAAUACAGUAUCUACCACAAAGGGUCUUGUGAGGAUUAAUUGGGUUUAUCUGCAUAAAGCACUUAGAAAAGAAUCUUGUUAUACAGUAAGCACUUAAUAAAUGUCCACUGGCUUCAUCAGUACCAUUACCGUUGAAAGCCUUUUAACAGCAAAAACUACAACUCUCACUGUGUCCACAGUAGUGGGCUUGUGGAUGGAGCUCAGAUAUUUGUUGGGCUUUUGAUCAAGGGACCAUUCCAGUGAAUCAGAAAGUUCCUGUGACCACUUAACAUAUUACACGCUUGCUUGUGUACUGCUCUUAGAUGAUAUAAAAACAAAUCAAAUUCCCAAACCAAAAAGCUGCACUCUUUUGUCUGGGUAAAUACAGCUAUGACAUGUCUAUUUCCAUGGUUUAGAAUAUCACCAGUGGGAAUCUACUGUGGAAAAUUGAGUACAACACUAUCAUCAUAUGAUUUGUUUUGCUCAUAUUUGGCUGUGCCAUUGGCUGCGGAGCCAGGCAGCGAACUCCACACAAUGAGGAGCCUGUGAAAACGCAGAGAAGGCAAGAAAGGAUGCAAACAUUUAGGCAGCAUCUGAUGGUAGCUGGCUUGUGGUUUACCUGGCCUUUGGUUAGAUAACUGUGCCUGAUCCCUAUGGCCAGGAAGGAAGGUAGGGUCAUGUACUACAAAUUUUGACCUUGUACAUGAGGAAUAUAAAGACAAAUUAGCCACUGCCAGAAUGACUAAAAUUAAAAAGACUGACAAGGAUGGUGAGGAUUUGACACAUUGCUCCAAAUUUCAGACAGUGCUAAUGAAAAUGAAGAUCUGUACAACAAAAGUACAGGCCUACCUCAGAGAUAUUGGAGUGUUCAGUUCCAGACCACGCAAUAAAGUGAAUAUCACAAUGAAGAGCUGAAGAAUUCACAUUUGGGCUGAUGGGCCUGGGGUAGGGAUGACCAACAGACCACAUGCUUCUUGUCUCUUCUACUCCCUGAUCCUCUGAUAGACAGGGCUAAGUGAUCAUCCACUCCUUCCACCCUCCAGCCUCCGAGUGGGCCACUUUUCAAGCAUGGAAUUCCAGGAGGUGUAACACUAUGGACGAGUGGGCAACUGGCUCUUCAGGCUUGGAACCAAGAGGGGGCAGCAGAGAGCAGAGAAGAAUUGGUUGGCUUGGGCUGACCCAGACCUAGGAAAACUUCCAAUCUUCUUCUUCUUCCCUCAAAACCGAAUCCUUGUGGACUCACUCUUGAGACUAUUGUCCACACAAGUGGUGUGGUCCAAGGCCACAGCAAGAAAGGUCUGAGGGAGUUCUUUGGGGUUCAGGUGGAGAAAAGCCUGUGCUGGAUGCCAGGCUGCUCUGAGAACAGGAAGGAAGAUAAUAAUGUUAACAGCAACAGUUACAAUUACCCAGCCCCUGUAGGGUGCCAGGCCCUCUGCCAAGGUGCUUUCUUUUCAUUCUCUCAAAGACUACUUGAGGUGGGGAAACCCCCAGUUUACAGAUGAGAAAACAGGGUCCCAGAGUGGUUAAAUACCUUGCCCAUGAUCACGUGACUAAGGGAGGGCCAAGCCACAUUUUAGACUCUUGCCUGUCCUGCCCUCUGUGUUAUGGUGCCCUUCCAGGAAGGAGGCAGAAAGGUGCACCUGGAGUUAGAAUAUCCUUGGGGAGUGUCCCGGACCCAAGGGAAGGCAAACGGUCCUUCUGGUACAGACUGCUGUCUCCUGAUGGCCACGGGUCUCCUGACAGAUUUAGCCAAUUCACUGGCUCACAGGUCCAUGCACCAUCCUCAGCAGAGCCGGGGUAAGGUAGCUGGGCUCGAACAGCCCCAGAAAAAGGCAAAAAGAAAGAUAACAGAAACUUGUAUGGAACUUUCAAGUACUCACUGUGGAAGUCAUUGAUUUAUCUGCCUACUGUGAGAGUUAUGUCACGUUGGAAGGUCACAUUAGAACGCCCCUCACCUCCUGCAGCCUCAGCUCCACCCUGGGCUCAGAGAUCAAUCCUUGCCUUAUUUAGGGAAGCACAUCCAAGCAUAUUUGAAACUUUUGGGAUGGGCUUGGGGAUACUGGCACCAGGGACAUCUUGCUGUCAGUACUGUCCUGAUUCUGAGAACUCCACUAACGCCACAUUCCUCAAUCCAAGCCUGGAUCUGGGACUCAGGCUGCUGCCUCACUAAAUGCCUUAUCUUUUGGGUCACUGCAGACCAGGGCCCUGCCUUCUUUAGCCAAUGUCUGUUUCCCUCAUCUGGCAGUAGGACAUCAGUCUACCAAAAGAGUCACAUGUUCAUAUCCCAGCUUAGGUCCAAGUUGUGAACCAACUUCAUUUCUUAAUGUAAUCACUUUUUUGGUAUUGCUUUUUUUCUCUAAAAAGUAUGUAUAUUUUCUGAUCCUACAUGUAAUAUUUUCUGGGCCAGUUGCAGUGGCACACACCUGAGCUACUCAAGGAAGCUGAGGCGGGAGGAUCCCUUGAGCCCAGGAGUUUGAGGUUACAGUGAACUAUGAUUGCGUCACUGUACUCCAGCCUAGACAGCUAGCAAGACCCCAUCUCUUAAAAAAAAUUGUUAGAAAAUACUUUAAAGCAUCAAGGAGAAAAAAAUUUCUCCUAUCUUUCUGGAUACAUUUUUCUCAACUGCGCUUAUUACUAUCUAACACCGUCCUUUACUUAGGUUUUCAUUGUUUGUCUCCUUCUCUAGAAUGGGAGCUUGACAACAUGAGGGAUUUCAUGUUUUGUUCACUGCAAGUUCCUUAAUUCCCAGAACAAUACCUGGCACAUUUACAGAAUGAAUGAAUUAAUUCAUAAUGCCAUGACAUCAGAUAUAAUUUUAUUUAAUAUUAUAGAGGGAACAUUUUUCAAUGUCAAUAAAAUUUUUUCAAAAGCAUCAUUUUAAAUGGCUGAUAAUAAUCUAGGGUAUGGACAUCUAAGCAUGUGUUAAGUAUGCCUGCAGUUUUGGAUACUGAAAGAUUACACAGAUUAAUUUGAUUCCCCAUUUAUCAAGCUACAGCAGGGCCAGGCUCACUUUGUUGUUUGGUUUCUUAGUUUCUUGUUCCUGGUCGAAUGAACAGAUGAGACUGGUGAAUUAUGGAGAAUUUCUGUCACUGCCCUCUCUAGCCUUGGCAUAGCACUGUGGCUCCUCUCUCCAAAUUUCUAGGUGAUCCAGCCGGCUGGGCUCUAUGUACUGAAGCAUAGGCUGCCCAGCGUAAGCAGAAUUGCUAACAGGAUACUAUUAUGGUACCCACCUGUGUGGCCUUGUGGGGGUGGGGGAACUUACCUUUGUUCCUGUCCUCCUCUAGAAAAUCAGUUACAUUUCUCUUGCCUCCCUCCCAAGGAUGAUUUCCAGGGAAGCAAAUUAAAAAGCGGUGAAAAGCCUUUAACAAUUACUCAGAAAUCUAUCAUUUCAUCCUCUUUCACCUCCAGUUCAAGUUUAAGAACA